UCUCUGAUGUAUGUUCAUCCUCAUGUGUUCACUAUGAUGUAUGUUCACUCUCAUGUGUUCACUCUGAUGUAUGUUCAUCCUCAUGUGUUCACUCUCUGAUGUAUGUUCAUCCUCAUGUGUUCACUCUCUGAUGUAUGUUCAUCCUCAUGUGUUCACUAUGAUGUAUGUUCACUCUCAUGUGUUCACUCUGAUGUAUGUUCAUCCUCAUGUGUUCACUAUGUUGUAUGUUCACUCUCAUGUGUUCACUCUGAUGUAUGUUCACUCUCCUGUGUUCACUCUCUGAUGUAUGUUCAUCCUCAUGUGUUCACUAUGAUGUAUGUUCACUCUCAUGUGUUCACUCUGAUGUAUGUUCAUCCUCAUGUGUUCACUCUCUGAUGUAUGUUCAUUCUCAUGUGUUCACUCUGAUGUAUGUUCAUCCUCAUGUGUUCACUCUCUGAUGUAUGUUCAUCCUCAUGUGUUCACUAUGAUGUAUGUUCACUCUCAUGUGUUCACUCUGAUGUAUGUUCAUCCUCAUGUGUUCACUAUGAUGUAUGUUCACUCUCAUGUGUUCACUCUGAUGUAUGUUCAUCCUCAUGUGUUCACUCUCUGAUGUAUGUUCACCCUCAUGUGUUCACUCUGAUGUAUGUUCACUCUCCUGAGUUCACUCUCUGAUGUAUGUUCAUCCUCAUGUGUUCACUCACUGAUGUAUGUUCAUCCUCAUGUGUUCACUCUCUGAUGUAUGUUCACCCUCAUGUGUCUCUGGGUGAACACAUGAG